rnacentral:rRNA from 1 species
UGCUUGCAGGGGUACUCGAGUGGCGAACGGGUGAGUAACACGUGGGUGAUCUGCCCUGCACUUCGGGAUAAGCCUGGGAAACUGGGUCUAAUACCGGAUAGGACCACAAUUUGGAUGGUGUGGUGGAAAGUUUUUCGGUGUGGGAUGAGCUCGCGGCCUAUCAGCAUGUUGGUGGGGUAAUGGCCUACCAAGGCGUCGACGGGUAGCCGGCCUGAGAGGGUGUACGGCCACAUUGGGACUGAGAUACAGACUCCUACGGAAGGCAGCAGUUGGGAAUAUUGGACAAUGGGCGCAAGCCUGAUGCAGCGACGCCGCGUGGGGGAUGACGGCCUUCGGGUUGUAAACUCCUUUCGCUAGGGACGAAGCGUUAUGUGACGGUACCUGGGGAAGAAGCACCGGCUAACUACGUGCCAGCAGCCGCGGUUAUACGUAGGGUGCGAGCGUUGUCCGGAAUUACUGGGCGUAAAGAGCUCGUAGGUGGUUUGCGUCGUUUGUGUAAGCCCGCAGCUUAACUGCGGGACUGCAGGCGAUACGGGCAUAACUUGAGUGCUGUAGGGGAGACUGGAAUACCUGGU